AGAGUUUGAUCCUGGCUCAGGACGAACGCUGGCGGCGUGCUUAACACAUGCAAGUCGAACGGGCCUGCCUGGCUUUGGUUGGGUGGGUGAGUGGCGAACGGGUGAGUAACACGUGAGUAACCUGCCCUCUUCUCUUGGAUAACUGCUUGAAAGGGCGGCUAAUACGGGAUGUUCUGGCUGCCUCGCAUGGGGUGGUUUGGAAAGAUUCGGCCUGGUUUUGGUUGUUUUGGUGGGGGAUGGGCUCGCGGCUUAUCAGCUUGUUGGUGGGGUGAUGGCCUACCAAGGCGGUGACGGGUAGCCGGCCUGAGAGGGUGGACGGUCACACUGGGACUGAGACACGGCCCAGACUCCUGCGGGAGGCAGCAGUGGGGGAUUUUGCACAAUGGGCGCAAGCCUGAUGCAGCGACGCCGCGUGAGGGAUGGAGGCCUUCGGGUUGUGAACCUCUGUCGCCGGUGAUGUAGGCUCUGCUUUGUGGGUGGGGUUGACGGUAGCCGGGGUAUGAAGUGCCGGCUAACUACGUGCCAGCAGCCGCGGUAAUACGUAGGGCGCGAGCGUUGUCCGGAAUUAUUGGGCGUAAAGAGCUCGUAGGCGGCUGGUCGCGUCUGUCGUGAAAUCCUCUGGCUUAACUGGGGGCGUGCGGUGGGUACGGGCCGGCUUGAGUGCGGUAGGGGAGGCUGGAAUUCCUGGUGUAGCGGUGGAAUGCGCAGAUAUCAGGAGGAACACCGGUGGCGAAGGCGGGUCUCUGGGCCGUGUACUGACGCUGAGGAGCGAAAGCGUGGGGAGCGAACAGGAUUAGAUACCCUGGUAGUCCAUGCUGUAAACGUUGGGCACUAGGUGUGGGGGGUCUUUCCGGGUCUUCCGCGCCGUAGCUAACGCAUUAAGUGCCCCGCCUGGGGAGUACGGCCGCAAGGCUAAAACUCAAAGGAAUUGACGGGGGCCCGCACAAGCGGCGGAGCAUGCGGAUUAAUUCGAUGCAACGCGAAGAACCUUA
rnacentral:rRNA from 1 species